rnacentral:rRNA from 1 species
GACAGAGGUGCCGAGCGUUAGGCGGAAUCACUGGGCUUAAAGCGUGUGUAGGCGGACUUCUAAGUACCUUGUGAAAUCCCACGGCUCAACCGUGGAACUGCUUGGUAUACUGGUUGUCUUGAGCCACUUAGGGGCAGUCGGAACAGACGGUGGAGCGGUGAAAUGCGUAGAUAUCGUCUGGAACGCCAAUGGUGAAAACAGGUAGCUGGGGGUGUGCUGACACUGAGACACGAAAGCCAGGGGAGCAAACGGG